AGCGAAAUGCGAUACUUGGUGUGAAUUGCAGAAUCCCGUGAACCAUCGAGUCUUUGAACGCAAGUUGCGCCCGAAGCCAUUAGGCYGAGGGCACGUCUGCCUGGGCGUCACGC
rnacentral:rRNA from 1 species